rnacentral:rRNA from 1 species
AGUGAACGCUGGCGGUAGGCCUAACACAUGCAAGUCGAACGGCAGCACAGUAAGAGCUUGCUCUUACGGGUGGCGAGUGGCGGACGGGUGAGGAAUACAUCGGAAUCUACUUUUUCGUGGGGGAUAACGUAGGGAAACUUACGCUAAUACCGCAUACGACCUACGGGUGAAAGCAGGGGAUCUUCGGACCUUGCGCGAUUGAAUGAGCCGAUGUCGGAUUAGCUAGUUGGCGGGGUAAAGGCCCACCAAGGCGACGAUCCGUAGCUGGUCUGAGGGGAUGAUCAGCCACACUGGAACUGAGACACGGUCCAGACUCCUACGGGAGGCAGCAGUGGGGAAUAUUGGACAAUGGGCGCAAGCCUGAUCCAGCCAUACCGCGUGGGUGAAGAAGGCCUUCGGGUUGUAAAGCCCUUUUGUUGGGAAAGAAGAGCAGCAGGUUAAUACCCCGCUGUUCUGACGGUACCCAAAGAAUAAGCACCGGCUAACUUCGUG